rnacentral:rRNA from 1 species
AGCAGCCGCGGUAAUUCCAGCUCCAAUAGCGUAUAUUAAAGUUGUUGCAGUUAAAAAGCUCGUAGUUGAAUUUCGGGAUUAGUAAGUUGGUCGUGCCUCUGGUAUGUACUGGCUUUACUGGUUCCUCCUUCUUGAAGAACUGUAAUGUCAUUAAUUUGGUGUUGCAGGGAAACAGGACUGUUACUUUGAAAAAAUUAGAGUGUUUAAAGCAGGCUAACGCUUGAAUACAUUAGCAUGGAAUAAUGAAAUAGGACGUUUGAUCCUAUUUUGUUGGUUUCUAGGAUUGACGUAAUGAUUAGUAGGGAUAGUUGGGGGCAUUAGUAUUCAAUUGUCAGAGGUGAAAUUCUUGGAUUUAUUGAAGACUAACUACUGCGAAAGCAUUUGCCAAGGAUGUUUUCAUUAAUCAAGAACGAAAGUUAGGGGAUCGAAGACGAUCAGAUACCGUCGUAGUCUUAACCAUAAACUAUGCCGACUAGGGAUCGGAUGAUGUUAAUUUUUUAAUGACUCAUUCGGCGCCUUA